rnacentral:rRNA from 1 species
AGAGUUUGAUCCUGGCUCAGGACGAACGCUGGCGGCGCGCUUAACACAUGCAAGUCGAACGGAGUUUAUAGAUGAAAUUCUUUCGGGAAUGGAAAUUAUACACUUAGUGGCGGACGGGUGAGUAACGCGUGAGUAACCUGCCUUUCAGAGGGGGAUAACACAACGAAAGCUGUGCUAAUACCGCAUGAAGUUGCGAGAUCGCAUGAUUUUGCAACCAAAGGAGCAAUCCGCUGAAAGAUGGACUCGCGUCCGAUUAGAUAGUUGGUGAGGUAACGGCUCACCAAGUCGACGAUCGGUAGCCGGACUGAGAGGUUGGCCGGCCACAUUGGGACUAAGACACGGCCCAGACUCCUACGGGAGGCAGCAGUGGGGGAUAUUGCACAAUGGGCGAAAGCCUGAUGCAGCGACGCCGCGUGAGGGAAGAAGGUCUUCGGAUUGUAAACCUUUGUCCCAUGGGAAGAUAAUGACGGUACCAUGGGAGGAAGCCACGGCUAACUACGUGCCAGCAGCCGCGGUAACACGUAAGUUGCGAGCGUCGUUCGGAUUUACUGGGCGUAAAGGGCGCGUAGGCGGUUAUGUGUGUCAGAUGUGAAAUCUCCGGGCUCAACCCGGAAAGUGCGUCUGAAACUGCAUAACUCGAGUCUGGGAGAGGGAAUCGGAAUACAGGGUGUAGCGGUGAAAUGCGUUGAUAUCCUGUAGAACACCGGAGGCGAAGGCGGAUUCCUUGAACAGUACUGACGCUGAGGCGCGAAAGUCGGGGGAGCAAACAGGAUUAGAUACCCUGGUAGUCCCGACCUUAAACGGUGUACACUCGGGGUGGGGCCUUUCACCGGUCCCGUCUCUUAGCUAACGCGUUAAGUGUACCGCCUGGGGAGUACGGCCGCAAGGCUAAAACUCAAAGAAAUUGACGGGGGCCCGCACAAGCAGAGGAGCAUGUGGCUUAAUUCGAUGCAACGCGAAGAACCUUACCUGGAUUUGACAUACAGCUGCACGAUCUAUGAAAGUAGAUCUCCUUCGAGGGUGCUGUACAGGUGCUGCAUGGCUGUCGUCAGUUCGUGCCGUGAGGUGUUUGGUUAAGUCCACCAACGAACGCAACCCCUUUGAUAUGUUGCCAGCGGGUCAAGCCGGGAACUCGUAUCAUACUGCCUGUUUACGCAGGAGGAAGGUGGGGAUGACGUCAAGUCAGUAUGGCCCUUACAUCCAGGGCUGCACACGUGCUACAAUGGCAUAUACAGAGCGACGCAAGACCGCAAGGUGGAGCCAAUCGCAGAGAGUAUGCCUCAGUUCAGAUUGGGGUCUGCAACCCGACCCCAUGAAGUCGGAUUUGCUAGUAACGGCGUAUCAGCUACGACGCCGUGAAUGCGUAACCGGGCCUUGUACUCACCGCCCGUCA